UCUGUGUGAUCGGGUUAGGUUUACUGUAGGUCUGUGUGAUAGGGUUAGGUUUACUGUAGGUCUGUGUGAUAGGGUUAGGUUUACUGUAGGUCUGUGUGUUAGGGUUAGGUUUACUGUAGGUCUGUGUGAUAGGGUUAGGUUUACUGUAGGUCUGUGUGAUAGGGUUAGGUUUACUGUAGGUCUGUGUGUUAGGGUUAGGUUUACUGUAGGUCUGUGUGAUAGGGUUAGGUUUACUGUAGGUCUGUGUGAUCGGGUUAGGUUUACUGUAGGUCUGUGUGUUAGGGUUAGGUUUACUGUAGGUCUGUGUUUGGGUUAGGUUUACUGUAGGUCUGUGUGAUAGGGUUAGGUUUACUGUAGGUCUGUGUGAUAGGGUUAGGUUUACUGUAGGCCUGUGUGUUAGGAUUAGGUUUACUGUAGGUCUGUGUGUUUGGGUUAGGUUUACUGUAGGCCUGUGUGUUAGGAUUAGGUUUACUGUAGGUCUGUGUGUUUGGGUUAGGUUUACUGUAGGUCUGUGUGUUAGGAUUAGGUUUACUGUAGGCCUGUGUGUUAGGAUUAGGUUUACUGUAGGUCUGUGUGUUUGGGUUAGGUUUAAUGUAGGUCUGUGUGUUUGGGUUAGGUUUACUGUAGGUCUGUAUGUUAGGGUUAGGUUUACUGUAGGUCUGUGUGUUAGGGUUAGGUUUACUGUAGGUCUGUGUGAUAGGGUUAGGUUUACUGUAGGUCUGUGUGGUAGGGUUAGGUUUACUGUAGGUCUGUGUGUUAGGGUUAGGUUUACUGUAGGUCUGUGUGAUCGGGUUAGGUUUACUGUAGGUCUGUGUGUUAGGGUUAGGUUUACUGUAGGUCUGUGUGUUAGGGUUAGGUUUACUGUAGGUCUGUGUGAUAGGGUUAGGUUUACUGUAGGUCUGUGUGAUAGGGUUAGGUUUACUGUAGGUCUGUGUGAUAGGGUUAGGUUUACUGUAGGUCUGUGUGUUAGGGUUAGGUUUACUGUAGGUCUGUGUGAUAGGGUUAGGUUUACUGUAGGUCUGUGUGUUAGGGUUAGGUUUACUGUAGGUCUGUGUGAUAGGGUUAGGUUUACUGUAGGUCUGUGUGUUAGGGUUAGGUUUACUGUAGGUCUGUGUGUUAGGGUUAGGUUUACUGUAGGUCUGUGUGUUAGGGUUAGGUUUACUCUAGGUCUGUGUGAUAGGGUUAGGUUUACUGUAGGUCUGUGUGAUAGGGUUAGGUUUACUGUAGGUCUGUGUGAUAGGGUUAGGUUUACUGUAGGUCUGUGUGUUAGGGUUAGGUUUACUGUAGGUCUGUGUGAUAGGGUUAGGUUUACUGUAGGUCUGUGUGAUAGGGUUAGGUUUACUGUAGGUCUGUGUGAUAGGGUUAGGUUUACUGUAGGUCUGUGUGUUAGGGUUAGGUUUACUGUAGGUCUGUGUGAUAGGGUUAGGUUUACUGUAGGUCUGUGUGUUAGGGUUAGGUUUACUGUAGGUCUGAGAUAGGCUUAGGUUUACUGUAGGUCUGUGUGUUAGGGUUAGGUUUACUGUAGGUCUCUGGGUAGCAUGAAUAAACCGCUAGUCCCACAAACAUUAGACAUUCAUUCAAUUGCUUCAGCUCACGGGGGGAGAUAUUGAAGGAGUCAGAAGAAUCAAUAUCUGGUUUGAUUUCCCCGUUUUUCCAAUUCCCGCCGGUAGCCUCAUGUAGUUUGUUAGCCGUCAGACAGCUCUCGCUAGUCCUCGAAGGCUGUGAGCCCUCCCCAGAUCUCCCUCUCUGGGGGGCCUUUAGACAGACAGAGAGAACGCAGAAAAAUGAGAGCUUGACAGAGACGUGACGGAGGUGUGAAGGAGACGUGACGGAGGUGUGAAGGAGACGUGACGGAGGUGUGAAGGAGACGUGACGGAGGUGUGAAGGAGACGUGACGGAGGUGUGAAGGAGACGUGACGGAGGUGUGAAGGAGACGUGACGGAGGUGUGAAGGAGACGUGACGGAGGUGUGAAGGAGACGUGACGGAGGUGUGAAGGAGACGUGACGGGAGACAAGUGAACCCCAGUCAGAAGGGAGAGGUGUAGAAGGAGACGUGACGGGAGACAAGUGAACCCCAGUCAGAAGGGAGAGGUGUAGAAGGAGACGUGACGGGAGACAAGUGAACCCCAGUCAGAAGGGAGAGGUGUAGAAGGAGACGUGACGGGAGACAAGUGAACCCCAGUCAGAAGGGAGAGGUGUAGAAGGAGACGUGACGGGAGACAAGUGAACCCCAGUCAGAAGGGAGAGGUGUAGAAGGUGGAGCCUGUAGUCUUCAGAAGUAAUGCUUCUGGAGGUUUGGAGAAUGACAGAUUUAAAAAUAAAAAUAAAUAUUUUUAAAUGUAACUUAUUUAACUAGGCAAGUCAGUUAAGAACAAAUUCUUAUUUACAAUGACGGCCUACCGGGGAACAGAA